rnacentral:rRNA from 1 species
UACGAGAGCCCCAAGCGUUAUCCGGAAUUAUUGGGCGUAAAGGGUGCGUAGGUGGUGUUGUUAGUCUUCUGUGAAAGGCCCUGGCUUAACCAGGGAAGCGCAGAGGAAACGGCAAUACUAGAGGAUGUGAGAGGUGUGCGGAACUUACAGUGUAGGGGUGAAAUCCGUUGAUAUUGUAGGGAACACCAAAAGCGAAGGCAGCACACUGGCACAUUUCUGACACUGAGGCACGAAAGCGUGGGUAGCGAAUGGG